rnacentral:tRNA from 1 species
GUCUUUUUAGCUUAUUAAUAAGAGUGUUAGUUUGAAGAACUGAAGGUAGUAGAUUUACUAGGGGACA